UCUCCGUAGGUGAACCUGCGGAGGGAUCAUUACUGAGUGAGGGCUUCGGUCCGACCUCCACCCCUUUGUGAACCAAACUUGUUGCUUCGGGGGCGACCCUGCCGCUUCGGCGGUGCGGCGCCCCCGGAGGCCAUUAAACACUGCAUCAUUGCGUCGGAGUUAAAGUAAAUUAAACAAAACUUUCAACAACGGAUCUCGUGGUCCCUGCAUCGAUGAAGAACGCAGC
rnacentral:misc_RNA from 1 species